UACAGAGGGUGCAAGCGUUGCUCGGAAUUACUGGGCGUAAAGCGUGUGUAGGCGGUCUCAUAAGUUGGGUGUGAAAGCCCUAGGCUCAACCUAGGAACUGCGCCCAAUACUGUGAGACUUGAGUGUCGGAGAGGAUAGUGGAAUUCCCAGUGUAGAGGUGAAAUUCGUAGAUAUUGGGAGGAACACCAGUGGCGAAGGGCGGCUAUCUGGACGAACACUGACGCUGAGACACGAAAAGCGUGGGGAGCAAACAGG
rnacentral:rRNA from 1 species